CCACGGCGGCGGAGGAGGAGGAGGAGGACGACGACACAGACGAUUUCGGCGACGACGUCUGCAACCGCGAGUCCCUUUUUUUUCACUGAAUCAUUCGCGAAUCGCGAAUCAUUCGCGAAUCGCGAAUAAUCCGCGAAUAAUUAUUUUUGACGAAAAAAACGCAUUUUUUUUUUCAAAUUUUUUGAAAAAAUACGUAUUCGUCCGUUUAGUACGUUUCUCCAAAAAUUUGUGAAUAAUUCGCGAAUUAUUCGCGAAUUUACUAACAGAGGCGUGGAGUCAAUAAUUAGA
rnacentral:lncRNA from 1 species